GGAUGUGAGGGGGAUCUGGCUGCGACAUCUGUCACCCCAUUGAUCACCAGGGCUGGCUCAGCUGAUCUGGCUGGCUAGGCAGGUGUUCCCUUCGUUCCUCACCACUCC
ensembl:misc_RNA 7SK 7SK RNA